rnacentral:lncRNA from 1 species
CCCGUGGAGGAAAGGGGUGGAGAGGCCCGCCCAGAGACCGAGGCUGCGAGUGUGCGCUGGCUGUUGAUUGCCAAGGCUUCAGGCACGCCUGGCCUCCACUUCCAGUGGUCUUUCCCUUUCUUUUUCUUCCUUCCUUUCCUUCUUUCUUCUCUUUUCUUUCUCUGUUUUUAUACAGACAAGGGGGCUGGCUCUGUCGCCUAGGCUGGAGUGCAAUGGCGCGACCACAGCUCACUGCAGCCUGGAACUCGUGGGCUCAGGAGAUCCUCCCGCCUCAGCCUCCCGAGUAGCUGGGACUGACUGUAGGCACACGACACCACGCUGGCUAAUUUAAUUUAUUAUUAUUAUUAUUAUUAUUAUUAUUAUUAUUAUUAUUACUAUUACUAUUUGUAGAGACGGGGUCUCCCUAUGUUGCCCAAGGUGGUCUUGAACUCCUGGUUUCAAGCAAUCCGCCCGCCUCGGCUUCCCAAAGUGCCGGGAUUACAGGCAUGAGCCACCGGGUCCGCCGCUCAGGUGUUUUUAAAGGACGUAGACCCGGUGGUGAUUGUUGUGGGACGAUGAAAGGGUCCGGCCCCAAGAUCGAUGUAGUUUAGGGAAAUAUCUUUUCCCAAGGAAUGUCUCCGAGUUUACAAGAUGAGCGCCAAGGUCACGCCCCCCGCCCUCCCUCACAGCCCUCUGUUCACAGCAGCACCGUUCUCUUGUGGCCGGUUUUGUUGCUUUUCUGCUUAGCAGCCUCCCUCACAGAACCGUGAUCCCCCCACCCCACACAUCCCUUUCCCCGCUUCCUCCCGCACUCCUCUUCUUCCAGCAGGUGUUUACAGAACAUCCACGGAGUUUGGGCCAAGCCCAGAGUGAGGAGCUGGGCACUGGGGUGGCAGAAGACCAGGCCUUGCCUUGAGCCCUUGUGCGAGCUUUACCUCAAAGCCUCUGUAAUCGAAGUGGGAGAAGGGGUGGUGGUGCGUGGUUGGUCUCAGCCACCUCCACCACUCCUCAGAAGAUGAACGCUGGAUCCAGGAAGAGAUUGUCAAGCCUCCCAAGCCCUGUGGGGACAGUGCACACAGACUAUGAUGGAUGCCUGAAGUGGGUUGCAUUACAAGAGAGGAGCACUGAGCUAAAGGAAUUUGCCUCUUUUAGGCUACACAGAAUUAAGCCUGCUCUUUGAAGGUGGGGAGAUGUUAUCUCAUCCCUCAAACGUUGCUUGCUACAAACACCGCCCAGAGAAAUGGACUGAUAAAGAGCUGGACAUUGGAGUGGCAGAACAGCAAGAAUGAUCAGAGAAGUUCAAGGGCCAUGGCAGAGAGCCUUUUCCAACAUAGUACAGUGUACUUAUACACUACAUAUGAAGGCCAGCUAAUCUAGUCUUGGGAGAACCAAGAGAGGCUUCUGAAAGAGAUGACAUCUAUGCCGAACCUUGAAGGUCAAACAGGAAUCAGCCACAUAAAGAGAAGGAGGAGAGCAUUCUGGAUAGCAGGAACAUCAUGUAUAAAACUUUGAAGUAAACGAUACACUCCGAGAAGUUUUUCAUUCCCUUUCACAUUCAUCUCCAUAUUGAACUCCAAUCUCAAACACCUAUAAUUAAAGUCAGUGUGUGACUCUGGAAGGUCUAGAUUCAAUACACUUCUGUGAAUUGCAGUGGCCUCUGGAAUCUUUACAUUAAUGUCACAUAAAAUUCACAGCUAAUUAUUGUCGACUCAGUUCAUAACAUUUCCACCUUUUCGGUAACUCUUCUUUUUUUACUCCACAGUCCGCCUGGUUAACAGUGAGGCUUUGUAACAGCAUAACUUUAACUAUGGCUACAGUUUAUUGGCUCCUAUUUUGGAAACUGACUCAUGCUGAACUAAUCCCCUUUCCCUGGGAGUUUAAAAUCAAGGUUAGGAGAUUUUUAACGUACCGACUGCUCUCCAACAGCAGCAUUAUAACCUUUGCUAUUUUUUUCCCUUGUAUUCUGAAAAUAGAAGAGAAAUACAGAAAACUCUCUGGGUUAUGUAUAGUGCACUAGAGUCUGGUACAGUUCAUGAGCAGCGUCUCUAUCUCUGGUUUCUGAGACAUCCUUGCAUCCUUAUAAUAAAUUCCUCUUUAACUUUAGAAAUUGUGUAAUUUUCUUUCUUUAAUUUUUAUUUAUUCAUUUAUUUUAUUUUAUUUUGAUGGACUCUCGCUCUGUCAGCCAGGCUGGAGUGGCACCCAGCCACUCUCGAUCUGUCACCCAUAUCUACAAUGGCGAGAUCUUGGCUCAUUGAACCUCUGUCUCCCAGGUUCAAGCGAUUCUCCUGCCUCAGCCUCCUGCCGAGCCUGCAGGUGCACCCCACCACACCUGGCUAAUUUUUGUAGAAAUUGUCUAAUUUUCCAUGUCACCAAUGAAUAAAAAAACGUACAUAGGGUUAGACAAGAUUAGAUCCUAUAAAAUGCACAAAACUUUAUUUUAAUAAUUUCAAUAAUAUUUAUUCAACCCACCCUUUAUAUCAUGACUUUAUGGCAUGCAUUAUGCAAGGUAUUGGGUAUAUAAACUCAGUCCCUGCCCUUCCAUGUAUUACAGUCUAUAGGGUACAUUUUAGACUGUGAGACUAUUGGUUUAAAUAUUAACUUCCAUCCAGAACCAAUUUCCUCCAAAACAUUCCACCUUGAAACAAUCAAUUGUGCCCAGAUUCUUAGGGUUGUAUAAGAACAUUGAUUCUUCCACAGUCAACAUAUGGCCUGAAGGGAGGGGAUGUCAGUUUCCAGAGCAAAGAAAAAGGGUCUGCUGGGCAAUCAUAUCAGUACCUACUACAUCUCUUCAAA